UGCGUGUUCGCUCGUUGUCUCCUCAUCUUUUAUGCAUGAGCGGCGCUUGUAGGAGAAAGUUGGUAUUUCCUGUGUCCGUGCACACACGCGGUCCCCGGCUGUCCUUUCUACCCCCGUCCUUUUUAAAUUUCCUGCGUUUAGUGUCUGGAUGCUUGUUUGGUUUGCUGUGAGGGGGGGGGGGCGUUCAUAAAGGACGACGCUUAAAGAAUCCUUCGAGGUCACGGUGCUCAGGUUCUGACCUCGCUCCUCCCGGUCGAGCGUCUCGCUGCCCUCAAGCGAUUUACUCGAUCAGGAUUCUCGGUGCACUAAAUUUUCUCGCAUAACGCCGCCGAUUUAUUUGUGUACUUGUGCGCCGAGUCCUCUAAGCUUUUAUUAUGAAAGGGUGCCGAAUUAAUGCUGAUUACCGCUGCAGUUUUAGCGCCGCGUGCAACGCGAUGGAGCUCUGCUGCCCAGCUGCACCAGAAAAACAACAACAAACACACAAAUGAUCACACGCGUGCACACAAACACACAUCUGAAUUCACACAAACACGUGCAAAAGAUCAUCUGGAGACACCAUUAAAAGGUGCUUAUUUUCCCCUCCGCGGCCUUUGAUGGUGCAUCUGGAUCCAUGUCCGGUCCACGUGUUCGAUCCCCGCCUCGUCCCCUCGUCUUCUCAGAGGGGACGGAGGUUCGGAUCACGUUUAGUCGUCAAUUACUCUGUUUUUAUUGCCAGCAACGGAAUUUUGAUGCGUGGCCUGUGUUGUUUUAUUUUGCCUCUGCAUAUUUCCCCCAAAUGUUUGGAAGCCAAACGUCCAGCGGGUCACAAGUUACAGUCCUCGUCCGACGUGUUGGUGAGCGACGGUCUGGUUUUCAUCUUCCAUCCCGUGUUUUAUCCAACGAUUAAAUACGCUCACUUGUCAUUAUAGAGAAGGGCCAAUGGACAGAUGUAAAAGCUGCAGGACCUCCAGCCCCCCUCCACAUCCCCCCGUCGGUCACAUCCAUCCAUCCUGCUCGAGUUGUUGUUCCGCCACGUUGAGCAAAACCAACAAACCUGAGGAGGCUGAGCGAGAGCGUGGGAGUUAUGAGGGACGGAAGGAAGGAAAGCCGACGGAUAAAAGAUGCUGCAGCAGAAGCACACUGGGCCCUCUGAGGAUCAGCGUAGUUAAUUAUCAUCUCUGCACGCACAAAGAGCCGACGUUUGUGUUCAUCCUACCAGGGAGCAGCGCGUUUUUGAGUCC
ensembl:lncRNA